GAGUUUGAUCCUGGCUCAGGACGAACGCUGGCGGCGCUGCUUAACACAUGCAAGUCGAGCGGUAAGGCCCUUUCGGGGGUACACGAGCGGCGAACGGGUGAGUAACACGUGGGUAACCUGCCCUCAGCUCUGGGAUAAGCCCGGGAAACUGGGUCUAAUACCGGAUAUGACUCCGCAUCGCAUGGUGUGGGGUGGAAAGCCUUGUGCGGCUGAGGAUGGGCCCGCGGCCUAUCAGCUUGUUGGUGGGGUAGUGGCCUACCAAGGCGACGACGGGUAGCCGGCCUGAGAGGGCGACCGGCCACACUGGGACUGAGACACGGCCCAGACUCCUACGGGAGGCAGCAGUGGGGAAUAUUGCGCAAUGGGCGAAAGCCUGACGCAGCGACGCCGCGUGAGGGAUGACGGCCUUCGGGUUGUAAACCUCUUUCAGCUCCGACGAAGCCUUCGGGUGACGGUAGGGGCAGAAGAAGCACCGGCCAACUACGUGCCAGCAGCCGCGGUAAUACGUAGGGUGCAAGCGUUGUCCGGAAUUAUUGGGCGUAAAGAGCUCGUAGGCGGUUUGUCGCGUCGACUGUGAAAACUCAGGGGCUCAACUCCGAGCUUGCAGUUGAUACGGGCAGACUAGAGUUCGGCAGGGGAGACUGGAAUUCCUGGUGUAGCGGUGAAUGCGCAGAUAUCA
rnacentral:rRNA from 1 species